CUUUUGGAAAGUGUGCAGUACUUGCAGAAAUUAUUGGCAGCUAGGUUUCCUUCCGUGAGGACCAACGAAGCACACAAGAUUCUUUCACAAGAAAAAAAUCCUGACUGAUACAUAAAGUCAACUAAAGGUCUAAAGACUUAAGAACUGAGUUUAAUCUCUGACGGGGACCAGAUGACAUUGCAGAAGAAAGAGAGAGAGAGAAAUUAUUUUUCUGUGUAAUUUGAUGCACAAAGCACCUUGAGAUGGAAGCCAUUAGAUUCAAAUUUAUCAUUUCAAGCUGGGACGAGAGCUGGUGACCUAGGAUUGAUUCCAUGAAGUUGAAGCUGGUACAGUUGAUGCUUCCUGAUGAAGACUUACAAUUUAUCAUCAAAAGGCGCCUUUAGAUUUCUACUGCAAUGGAGUGUCUGAUAAACACCUUCCAUUUCUACAGGGAAAGAAGCAGAGCUAUUCUCUGAAAUGAAUAACUCUGCAUUCAAAGGAGGCUUUCCAGAGAAGCUGGGCACUAAAACAGAUUAAGAUGAACUGAAGACACAGAAAACCAUUAUGUUCACAGAAUAAACAGUUUUAGUCAUUUAAUGUUAUAAUAAAUGUAUUUGGCUGUGACAUGCUGCUUUCACCACAAAAAGGUCUCCUGUUAAAUAUGCACAUGUCUCUACAUUGGGCCAGUGAUAGGAGCUGGACAGCCAGGGGUGACAGUCCUACUGUGGAUCUUGAAUUUGCUUUUCUGAGGAACAGGCGAUUACUGUAAACAUUCCUCUUUUCAAAAUGGAGAGGAAGUGAAUUUAGCAUUGCUGACAAGUGUCAGAUUUACUGCUUUAAAGAUCAAAGCAAUUAAUUUAUUCAGAGGAUCAGGGAAAGAGCAAGAGAAACAGACAUGGCCCCACCGGCUGCCCUGCCUUUGAUGACCAGAGCUCUAGGUAACAAAGGUUUGUCAGCUUUUUACCAUACUCAAUCCUAGGAGAUCUGAGUUAAGACUAAAACUUCAGGGCCCUUGCUGGCCUAUUGGAAAAUAAGGAGGAUGCGUAUCCAGCAGCAGGGAUAUGAUAAAGAAUCAAUUGCCAUCCAAGUGUUCACUUGCUCUUUUAAAUAUGAAGCAUUCUAAGUACAAUGUAUAGGAAGACAGGACCAACAACAAAAUGCUUUUUUGAUAAACUGCUGACAAUGUGGAUUUGGGUGGUGUUUUAUUUACUUCAGAGACUGGCUUUGCAGAUAAUAAGAUGUUUGUUGCAUGUAUGUGUGAUGUGUUAGACAUUUCUCUUCAGAAGCCCAGGAAAAUAAGACAAUGCAAAGUAAAAGAGUGGUAAAAUACUGGUAACACUCCCUCACCUAAUGAAGGAAGCUUAACAAGCCAACACAAGACAGGAGAAGUCACUCAGAAAUCAUCACUCUCUAUUGUUCUUGGAUGACACAGAUAAAGAUUCACUGACGGUCUAAAAAUAUUCUCCAUACUAGGUACCUGGAAAUUUUUCCUCUUGACUCAGUUUUUCUUUCCAAAUGAAAAUUUGGUCAUGAUUACUAUUAUGAACCCUUCUUGCUAAGGGAAUUUUGUUAAUGAGUACUGACUUCAUUCUACAUGGUUCAGAUUCUCUUACUUGCAAAAUAAUAACAAUGUUUUAAGUCUCUUGUCUGAAACAAAUUAAUUUGAUCCCAUAUCCUAAUAGUGUCAAUGAGCAAACCCAUGUGUUCCUACAGUUUUUGGGUCUGAUAAGUCAAAAUAAAUAAAAUCAAACAAGAAAAAGCCUUUAAAGAUAAAUAUAUAGUUAAUUCCUUCUUUCCCAAAUAAGUGGAAUGGAUGGCAACUGGGAAUGAUAAGAUAUUACCAGAAUAAAUGUUUGAUACUUGAAGCUGAAAUUAUAAAUGGACUACAUCAUUCACAAUUUGGGUAAGGAAAUAUAACACAUGUGCAGGAGUAAAAUAGAAUUUUAUAGUAUAGACUUACUGAUGGAAAAAUGAUUACAUUCUCAAGUGUGAGACUCUACAGUUACAACAAUGGGUAACUUGACUGCUAAGUGCUAUGUGGUUCUGGACAGAAAGUUUUCUGGGAGGAGAGAAAUUGGUAAGAUUGUAGGAAGAGAUGUAAACCUCUGUCGAUAUUCAAGUCCAUUCGCCCAGCCCGCUCUGAUCACUCGCCUACAUCCCAC
ensembl:lncRNA